UGAAAUUCCAGGUUUACGAGAACCAAGUUUUAUAGUCCCAUAGGAAUGAAACCCGUUUGAGCGAGAGUAGUACUAGGAUGGGUGACCUCCUGGGAAGUCCUCGUGAAAGGGUUUCAU
rnacentral:rRNA from 1 species